rnacentral:lncRNA from 1 species
CUCACGUUCCAGAUGGCCAGAUUCUGUACCUGGCUCCUGGCUGCCCCUGGCGCCAUCUUGAAUCGCUGUGAGGCGGUUUGAGCGAAGGUGUCUGAGCUGCGGUUCUGUUCUGGAAGCUCUAAUCCGACACUGUAGGCUCAAGACCUUUGCAUACAGCCCUCUACAGGAGUGAACUUUGAAGAGCAAAAACAUUCGACAGAGAGGAAAGAAACAGAACACAUAUAUAAAUAGAGAGAGUGAAGAAGUGGAAAUCAUUGAUUCAUCAUAAAGUCAACACUCUGCAAUGUGCAUGUCAGUGUGCAUCGUGAAGCCCAUGACUUACGUCGAUUGAUAUUUUCUCCCCAUUUGAACUAUUGCCUUCUGGAGGACAGGGAACAUAUUAACAUUUCAAUCAGAUGCAGCUGAACGGACACUAAUCUAAACGUUUCAAGACCAAGACAUUAGUUUUAACUUGACUACAGUGUAAUACUUACAGAGCUUCUUAAUUUCUCUAAGCUUUUCUUUUUUUAACCUGUCAAAAGAGAAAUAUAAUAUCUCCUCUGCUUUCUUAAUAUAGAUAAUGCAG